rnacentral:rRNA from 1 species
GGUACAAAGGGUCGCAACCCGCGAGGGGGAGCCAAUCCCAAAAAGCCGCUCUCAGUUCGGAUUGCAGGCUGCAACUCGCCUGCAUGAAGCCGGAAUCGCUAGUAAUCGCGGAUCAGCAUGCCGCGGUGAAUACGUUCCCGGGCCUU